rnacentral:rRNA from 1 species
ACGACUCCCAACAAUAGAUAACUAGGCUCUCGCAUUGAUGAAGAACGUAGUGAAAUGCGAUACAUGGUGUGAAUUGUAGGAUCCCGUGAACCAUCAAAUCUUUGAAGGCAAGUUGCGCUCRAGGCCACCAGGCCGAUGGCACUCUUGCCUAGGCGUCAUGC